rnacentral:rRNA from 1 species
CCUACGGGGGGCAGCAGUGAGGAAUCUUCCACAAUGGGCGAAAGCCUGAUGGAGCAACGCCGCGUGCAGGAUGAAGGCCUUCGGGUUGUAAACUGCUUUUAUAAGUGAGGAUUAUGACAGUAACUUAUGAAUAAGGAUCGGCUAACUACGUGCCAGCAGCCGCGGUCAUACGUAGGAUCCGAGCGUUAUCCGGAGUGACUGGGCGUAAAGAGUUGCGUAGGCGGUUUAAUAAGUGAAUAGUGAAACCUGGUGGCUCAACCAUACAGACUAUUAUUCGAACUGUUGAACUCGAGAGCAGAAGAGGUAACUGGAAUUUCUAGUGUAGGAGUGAAAUCCGUAGAUAUUAGAAGGAACACCGAUGGCGUAGGCAGGUUACUGGGCCAUUUCUGACGCUAAGGCACGAAAGCGUGGGGAGCGAACCGGAUUAGAUACCCUUGUAGUC